rnacentral:rRNA from 1 species
AUUGAACGCUGGCGGCAGGCCUAACACAUGCAAGUCGAGCGAGCGGCGGACGGGUGAGUAAUGUAUGGGGACUGCCCGAUAGAGGGGGAUAACUCCUGGAACCGGUGGCUAAUCCCGCAUACUCUCGGCUAUCCCCUAUGGUCUUAGCUAGUAGGUGGGGUAAAGGCUCACCUAGGCGACGAUCUCUAGCUGGGCUGAGAGGAUGAUCAGCCACACUGGGACUGAGACACGGCCCAGACUCCUACGGAGGCAGCAGUGGGGAAUAUUGCACAAUGGGCGCAAGCCUGAUACAGCCAUGCCGCGUGUAUGAAGAAGGCCUUAGGGUUGUAAAGUACUUUCAGCGGGGAGGCGGGAAGCGAAGAAGAAGCACCGGCUAACUCCGUGCCAGCAGCCGCGGUAAGAC